CUUGCACUUAUAACUCUUUGGGCCCUACACUUUAAUUGAAUGGCUCAAGUCACAAUGUGCAGAUAGAAAUAAAGCUUGUCGCCUUCCCUGACUAGAACCGUGUCUGUGGAAGUGAAUUGAAGCAGUAACAAUG
rnacentral:snoRNA from 1 species